rnacentral:rRNA from 1 species
UACGAAGGGGGGCUAGCGUUGUUUCGGAAUUACUGGGCGUAAAAGCGCGUGUAGGCGGGUCUUUAAGUCAGGGGUGAAAUGCCAAGGCUCAACCUUGGAACUGCCUUUGAUACUGGAGACCUUGAGUCCGGGAGAGGUGAGUGGAAUUGCGAGUGUAGAGGUGAAAUUCGUAGAUAUUCGCAAGAACACCAGUGGCGAAGGCGGCUCACUGGCCCGAUACUGACGCUGAGGCACGGAAAGCGUGGGGAGCAAACAGG